ACACGCACACACACACCCACCAGUGAAGUAAGAUCUUUCACAUCACUUGCUUUUGUUUCUCUGUUGUUGUCCACACUAUUGACUCAUUCCUGUUGCGUGGCCGAGAAAAAAAACCUAUCACAUUGUCAUGGUUUAACAUAGCUUGGUUUUUAGUUAAAGAGAAAAUCUAUCAAUUAGGAAGUGAUUCUCGGUGAGGGCUGCUAACAGCUUCCUCCGGAUCCAACAGAACCAAUCAGCUGGCUGGUUCUGAAUAUUGACACAUGGUUAAACCACUUAAGAAAGCUGAACACACCUCUGUGAAGGCACAUGUGAAAAUGAACAAACCCUGGGAAGCUCUCUUGCCUCCAGCCUUUGGCCAGCACCCCACGUGAAGAGAAGGCUGGGUGGCGCCGGCAGCCGGAGCGACUCGCACAGUGUCGGUGCAGAUCACAGCGAGCGAUUUCCCCUGGAUGAGAUCAACCUUUCAGCGGAACUCUGUAAAAACUGUUUCAAUUGAUAAAGCUUGAGAACAAAUGAAUCUACCAACACCAAUUCUCUCCUGAAUCAGGAGAAAGGAAAGAGUGAAGACACGUAAAGAAAACAACAUGAGACACUGUCCUGUGGUGACUGCUGUCAGUAAAUAAUGCUAGUGGAUGCACUAGCAUCAGCGCUAGACCCACUACACACACAUGGCAUGUCAACAACAGCUCUUCCAAUUUGCAGGGAAUUCCAACAUUUUCAGCAUGGGUUUGUUGCAAUUCAAAGAAAAAUAGGCUUUCAAGAGUUCUCAAAGAACAGAAAUUCUCUAAAAAGAGCUUUCAUAAAUGCCAACAUCAAGAAUAAUGAAUAAGGGUGGCUGGGAUAGAUUUCAGCAGUUGCUGAUGGAUUUCAUAAUCUUCUUGCUUUGGUCAUGUAACAGUGAUGCAGCUCUGCACUCUCUCAUAACAAGACUUGUUACAAAAAAUUAUUCAAUUUAAAUUCCUAUUCACACUCAUGUGCUCACUCACAAAUCACAGAAUCACAGACUGGUUUGAGUUGGAAUUACCUUAAAGCUCUUCUAGUUCCACCCUCUGCCAUGGGCAGCAAUACCAGGUUGCUCCAAGCCUUUUUCAACCCAGUCUUGAACACUUCCAGGGAUGGGGCAACCACAGCUUCUUAAUUAAUUAAAUAAUUAAUUUAAUUAUCUGUAUCUGAGGAGCUAAUAAAUAUGUCCCUAGAAGUAUAUUAAAGCAUAUGAAUCAUCUGUCCAAGGGCCACAUACUGAAAAUCUGUAGAACUAGAACCAAAUAUUUAUUCCCUCUAGAGAGGGAAGGCAACAAAGCACAGAAAAUUCUUUCAUUCUUUAAUCUGUUCGGUGCUUGAGCACCUCCUUCUUAGCCAUGCUUCACUUCCAUACAAUGGAAAUCAAACUGCUGGGCACUAUAAGCAGCAGCACAGGCCUGUUACUUCCUGACAAGGAACUCAGCAAAGCCAUGGACCAAUAUCUUGUGCUCUCCUCAGGUUUCGGUGUUUACCAGGUGGCUCACACAGCAGGUAUGUAAACAUGGAUUAAUCCAUUAGACGAGAAUGUAUACAAAUAAAUGAGUCUAUGUCACUAAUUUUCCCUUAAACUUGGCAUGUAAAUGUCACCAUGGUCACAGCAAAAAUGUCCAGAGAACUGCCCAGGCCUGCAGAAUAUCAACAUCAUAUAAUGAGAUCAGAGUUAAACUCUGCCUUCUAGAAUAAACACUUUAAAUUCUUUUUUUCAUGUGUAAGCAAAGUUUCGUAGGCUUCUUCACUUCUAUAAACAUUCAUGGCAGCUCUAAAUACUCUCACCUGGCAAUUUCUAAUUCAGUAACACCACUUACAAGAGAACAUUCAUCCAAAUACCAUCUUGAUUAUUUGACAGGGUUAAUAGCCGGGUGAGAAGCUGAAGACACAGCAGCUGAAGCUGAAGCAGUAGCUGGAGCUGAAGCUCCCCCAGUACAAUGAGAAAGCAGAAAUUCAAGUAUCACAAUGUGCUUUUAGGUCUAAAGAAAGAAGGAAAUCUCUGCCUUGAGACAUUUUCUCUGUUCAAAACUGAAAGCAAGUUCUUAUAAAAAUAGGAAGUCUGGUCUGGGGAUGUGGAAGUUCACGGCAGCCUGGUCUACACUGAGGUCCAGACUGAGGAGGGAGAACACAGAGCUGAGAGCAGGGACAGUCUGCCAAGAAAGGGACUGCGACAUAUGGCCCAGGCAUGCUGGGGUGCCAUCAGGAAAGACACAGCUCAAUGGACUGGGUCAAGGGCGGCAAGAAGAGUUUCUAAACCUACAUGGACAGUAUAGCUGGACAAGGAAAAUGUGUCUGAGUGGGGCAGAGAAUUUAGUGACUGUUGAUGCAGGUGGGAAUGAGGGACUCUGUCUACUUUGCAUCACUGUUGUGGAAGGUCUCCAGAGCUUAGAGAUGGGGCUCAAGGAGGAGAAGAUCCACCAGUGCUGGAAGGGAAUUGACUCAGCAUCUCUCAAGGAGCCUUCUCCCUUAAAGUCCAUGGGAUCUGAUGGGUGGCAUCCACUGGUGACCAGAGUGCUGGCUGGAGUCCUUGCAAGACCUGCCCAUCACCUCUGAAAGGUCAUGGAGAUCAGGGAAGGGCCCAGGAGAUGGACAAGGCAAAUGUUGUUCCUAGGGUCUGUUCACUGCAAAAAGAUAAAGGAGGGUGGGGAAAGUAAAUUGUAUCACCGAGUCCCAGAAAAGUUUGGGCUGGAAGGGACCUUAAAAAACUCAUGCAGUUCUACCCCUGCCAUGGGCAGGGACACCUCCUACUAUCCCAGGUUGCUCCAAGCCCUGUCCAGCCUGGCCUUGGAUGCUGCCAGGAAUCUAGGGGCAGACACAGCUUCUCUGAGCAUCUGGUGCCAGGGCACCACCCUCACACGGAACAAUUCCUUACACGUAUUGAACCUAAAUUUCCCCUCAGUCAAUUUGAACAUACUCAAAGAUUCAAACAGACCUGAAACUUCUCUCCCUAUUUCACAAUUUUCUUAAGCAAUGACAGCACUGUAAAAAGUUGCAAUGAGAAGAAUGAAUUUUACUUUAAUUUCGUUGCCUUCAGCAAUUGCAUGUUAUGUUGCAAUUCAUUUUACUCUGUAAUGCUUCCUGUUACAGUAGCUGGUGUAAAUCAACCCCAUUUUGUUUAUAACAUGCAUAAAAACAUUCUUUAUACAUAGUAAUUCCCCAAGCAGCAUUGAAAACAGGUGGAUUUCAUUUAAUCCCUUGACCAGUCACUGACGACAAUUAAACCGGCUAUAAAAAAAAGUAAAUAAAAAUACUUUGGCCAUCCAUGGUUUAUGGAAUCUGUUUUCUUUUACAGCCUGCCUGGGGCAAGGGGAAAAAUAUUUAAUUCAAGUGAUUUUCCUUUAAGGCUUUAGCAAGGACAAUAGGAAUUAUGCAAUGCAGCCUAUGAAUGUGCAGCCUCCUUAAAACAAACUGUGCAGAAUUUUGAAAAGAAACAUAGAGGGGAAAAGGAGUGUUGUCUCAAGAAGGAAAAGCUCCUAUAAUUCCUACUCCCUGGUACAGAGAGAAAAGUCAUGUCCAUAAAGCAGAUCCUCUUCUCACCUCAACUCCCAACCACCUGUGAGCUCACUGGGGCCUGGCUAGAAUUGUCUGUGGUGGGGUUUCUUGCUAUUGCUGGUCAAGCACAGAACAUUCUAGUGCAGUUUUAGUUUUGUUGGAAUAUAUUCACUCUGCCUAAGAGACAAGCAGAGUAACAGCAGUGCAUUUGAGGCCCAGACCUCAGAUGGGUUUGAGGCUCCCCAGGCUGAGCAGGAUUAUCAGCUCAGGAAUUGAUUAGGAUCAGGCAUUACAGUGGCCAUUUGGACAUGAGGGCUGACCCUCACUGCUCAUUCCAGGCAGGAGGAAGGUACAAUGUGCUCCCAGGGCCAGUUCUAUCUAUGGAGGCUCUCAAGAGCCAGCUGCUGCCAGCCCUGAGUGACCUGGUCUGACCAAGAGCUGACGUGCUUUGAGGAGGGUUGGACGGGGACCUCCUGAGGUCACCUCCAGGCCAAGUGAUCCUGUGACCCCAUGGCACAGACAGGGUACCCUGUGUGCAUCCAUCACUCAGCCCUCACAGUGUGUCACCAAUCUUUGACACAACUGACUUCCUGCACUUGUGCAAAGCCAUUUCCCCGCAGGAUAUAUGAUCCAGGAGCAGGAUCCUCGGGCUGACCACACCAGGAGCUUCCUCACACUUACACAACCGGUGACUUACGAGGAGUUACGCACCAUCCAUCCUUUCAGCUUCCACGAAUGCAACACCGGUUUUCGUGGAUUUACAGCCCUUUCUCAUGACCAAACGUGGUCACUGGUUGCAUGUGUUAACCUAUGCUGCAAUACCCAGUGCUGGUCACACAGUUAUUAGUGGUCUGUUAAUUGUGCAUCCAUUUUCUGUGCAAUUGAGGGAAAAAAUAGCUGUAUAAAGGUCAGAUCCUACUUUUCAGCUCCGAUCCAAACAGUGACCCAUAUUUCCAUUGCUAUAACUAGCUUUGUACAUGAACAGGAUCUGGGAAACCCUUAAAGCCCAUGGAGGCCCAUGGAGGAAAAAAAAAAAAAAAAAAAGCUGAAACUGUAAUCCAAAAAAUUCCUCCAGUCUCUAAGAGUAGAAGAGCAGCCCCAUGUUGACCAUUUCCAAAGGUCCCAUGGCAGGGACCUGGUCUCAACAUGUCCAAUGAUAACUUCCAGGUUGCUCUGCUCCUUUAGCCCUUGUGAUUUGCUGACAGACACUGGCUUUGCUAUAGCUAAAUCCAUGGAGAGAAAAGUCAAUGCUUUGGUUCAAUGCUUGAGGAAUUCUCAUCUUCUGCACACCAUGCUAAACUCUCACACUCGUAUGUAGAUACCUGACAGCAGCAUGAGAGGGAAGGAAUUGCAGUCACUGGAUUCCUGCAGCAAUGGCUGUGUGGAAAGUUCAUAUGUCCACCUCAGCAGCAAACAGCAGAGGCAUUUCUGACCAACAGAAGCAAAAGCCUGGAGAAAUCUGCCCCAAAGAGUGACGUGGGUGUCUGAGACAUCAGGUUGGCUCCAGCAGGUGUUGGAAAAGUGUUUGCACUUGCUGAGCUCCCUCACCCACUGCAGACACAUUUUGUGAGGGGCUGCCCACACUACACCCACAAGUAACGUGGGGGCCCAGAAACUCUUGCAUCCUUUUUCUUUGCUAGGAAAGGCUCCCUUGAGCGAGGUUGUAGGCUCAGAACAGACAGACCAGAAGAACUUGAUGAAACUUGAUUCCAGCUCCACCACGGCUCACGAGCUCUCAUAUCAAGCCUACAUGGGGUUCUUAUCAAGCUCAAGUUACUCAGGAGAACAAGCUGUUCACUGAACUGCAGGUUAUGGGAAGCAACAGCAAAUAUCUGCCCAUUUCCUGUGUCUGGGACCGUGGGACAGGCAAGGGAAAGCUUCCCAAAAUCACCCAGCUGAUGGAGAUUUUAGUGGGAUUUUAGAAGAAGAGCGGAAGCUCCACUCAUCAUCCCUGCUCUCUUCAAACAGGAGUUAAAGCAUCCAUGUCUAACAAGCAGGGAGGCCUCCAGGAGGGAAUCCUAGAGGGAUCCUAGCAGAAAAAGCCACACACUAACAUGGGACAUUGGGAGAUUCACCUGGAGAGCUGUUUCUGACACAAAUCCUCAGAUCAAUCUCCUACAGGACCCUUGAAGUUGAAAUUAUCACAUAUUUCCUGGAAAAGUGACCACCAAGACAUGUUACAAAGGUUAUUUGGUGGGUGAGACUUCCCUGAAAAAUCUCCUUUACCUUGUCUUUGAGAGAUCACCAAGGUAAAGCAUGUCCCAAGGACAAGCCUGCUGGACACCUCUGGCAUGGCUGAGCUGAACAGACAGUGACCCUAUGGCCCAGCUGGCCACAGCAGGAGCUGCUGUGCUGAGACCCUGGAUGCACCCUGGAAAUUUUCCAUGCUUCAGAGAAUCAUCCCCAAAGGCUGAUGCAGCUGAAGUGGUGCUUUUUGUGCAUCAAUCAAAAAGCCUUUGGCAUUAGCUUGCUGAAAUUUACCAAGAGGAGAUGUGCUGAUCCCUUUCCUCUCCCACUGGAAACGGGAAUCUCCAAACUGCUCAUCCCUUUGUACGGGCAGCACAGGAACAGUCCUUUCUGGGAACAUGAAGUUCCUCCCUUUUGUCCCUAAUUUGCAAGCACUUUUCACAGGAGAAAAAUUCUUGCACAUGACUGUCACCACAAAACCUCAUGUAAGAUAGUGAUGUCACAAUCCUCAAGUGUAACCCCAAACUCCUGUAAGUUUGCUGUAAAUACUAUGGUCUGGACAUGGAUACACCUUGGCUGACGUGUUGUCAAGGAGAAGGGGAAAACCAUUGUCUGCAAGUGGAGGAUAAUUGUUGGGAACUGCUGCAGUUCAUGCAAAUCUUUUCCAAUAAGAAGAAGGUCCCUUUAUAAGAAAGGUCAUUAGAAACAUUCACUGAGGCUGAAUUCUGAAACAGAAGUUAUGCUGUGGUGUGAUGUUUGGGCUGCUGCCCUCCUGGUAACUUCGGAUUUAAAACUAGAUUGAGAACAUUUCAAAAUCAAGAUGUGAUCUCCAUGAGCUGUGUGUGCUGAGGGAAAGACUGCAGUGCUUCUGAGACAUGCAGCCUGUUAAUCCAGACAGGAGUGUCCAGCUGUCCCAAUGGCACCUCCUCAGCCCUGCAUUGUUCAACCUGUCCUGGAUUUACACAGUGACUCAAAGUGGCUUCUGGGAUGCAGAAAAAUGGGGAAAGGUCAAAAGAUCCCAUCCCUGAGUGGUCUUUCCUGACUCAGCCUGGAAAAUCCUCAAAUCCGCAAGGUUGUCUAGGUGGGGAGAGCAUGGAAAAGGCUUGUGGGACAUGAAACACAUGUCACACCUGCAUGGACACUGACUGGUCACACACCACACAGCUUCCAAAUCCAUACAAAGCUCCCUGCACUGUCACUGUCUCACACCUUCAUUGUCCAAAUCCAUUCAAAGCUCCCUGCACCAAAAUUCCAGGGGCUCUCUGAUCCCUGGUCUUGGAAAGCCACAGAGGGGAACAAGACCACACAAUUAUUUUCAGGCACCACCAUGAGCUCUCUUCUGGCAGCUGGACAGCCUGACUGGCCCAGUUCUGGCUCUUGUCCAAGAACUGGGCACUCUGACCUGUCCAGUUCUGGCUCUCUUCUGAGAACUGGACACCCAGCUGGUCAGACUGGAAGGCAGGAUGGUUCCAGUCAUCACCAAGACAGCUUUCCCAAAACCUGCUCUGGUCAGUGGGAUUCCCAGUGGCUCCCUCUCCCAAGGGCAGGUAACCAGGCGGGUUUAUACCAAAAACCCUGACUGCUUUAGCCAUGAGUCCCUCAGAACUGACAUAUUUUCCUGAAUUCUUUUGGGUAUGAGGAGCUCAACAUCAUGUCUCCCUUCUCCAUUAUGGAUUUCUUUGGUCAGGAUCAUCAUGGAUGCCUUCCUUGUUUCUUCAAUUGCAGUCUUCAAAAAUUUUCUAGGUUUUCUUCCAAAUCUGACAGUGAACAUGCCACUUCUGCAGAUCUAGAUAAAAGGGUUUGUUUCCACAACUGCCUUGUGCUGAAUGAAAACCAGAAUCAGAGAGGAGGGAGCUGCAUGCCCUGUGAUAGGAAAUCUGUGUUGAACAGCUCUGCAGAAUCCAAAAGCAGCUGGGAACAGCCCAACUUGUAUUCCUGAUGGAUAAGGAAGAAGAGAAAACAGGAUGUGGUUUCUUCUCAAAUCCUCUCAGAAGAUACCAACUUUUAAAAACAUAACUCAGAACACAGACACUAAGGAAAACAUGCAAAAGCCCCAGGAAAUUUAAAGAAAACCCCAAAGAAACAAACAUACAAAGGAUUAACUUUUUUCUUAAUGAAACAAUUGAUUAGAAAGUUGUGUGUAACAUUCCUGCUCUAUCUGACUAUGCCUGACUCACAGGCACUGAAAUUUAUGGAGCAUUAAGAUCUGCCUGCCCUCAGAAAAGUGAAAGAGAGAGGUUUGCUUCACUGCUUAUCAUGUAUUUGAAUAAAAAAUACAUAUAUGGAAUAACCCUCGGUGCCAGCAGGUGCCAAAAUGCUCCUUAAUAUGACCUGAAAUCUGUCAUGGGAAAGCAGCAAACAAAUGUGAACUAUAACCUCCUUUAUUUACCUGUCACCUUUCCUUCUGUAACUCAGGGCAGGGUUAAGCUUCUCACCUGUAUUUAUUUAACAAGCUGGAUGGAUGUAAAUCUGACCAAGAAGUGAUGUAACCCAGGUCAAAAAAUAUUUGUACUGAUAGAUAAUUUUACAUUUUACACCCAUAAUCAUAACUUCAAUCCAGUAAAGCUAAACCAUGCCAAAAGCCAACAUCAAAACCCAAUUUUGCAGCCUGGUCAGUGCUGUAUCUCUACUUUCCUUUUCCUGGGAUUUUAGAGAGUUCUGGAAGCAAGUAAUUGUAAAAUUAUGUACAAAUUAUUUAAGUCUCAUUCAACUUCAAAGUGACAAUAAAAAAACAGCAGGGAGGAAAAUUACAGGUCAUCUCCUUCUAGAAAUUUUCCAUCACAUGUAACAGUUUUAGGAUUAUCUUGUUGCAAAAUAGAAGUUUGGGAUUUUUCUUAAUGAAACCACUUUUUUCUACCGUUGUGCUGACAUCUUCUGUUUCCUGAGAGUGAUUUUACCAAUUAAACCAAGGGGUAAAAUGAUGGGGGAUAGAGGAGCAAGGAAGAUGCUGAAACAGGCACAAGGAACAUGAGAAAUUUCCAAUUAUUUAAUAUAAUUGGAAGACGAUUUCUUUUUUAAAUCCACAAUUUAUCCUUAAAUAUUUCCAGCUAGCCUAAUAAUAACUUCAGACCAAUAAAUCAGUUUCCUCUCCUAGAAAAUCUGAGGUCAAGCACCAUUUGCCAUUUUAUAUUUCCCUGAUAUCCCUAACUUUACACAGAAGAGUUUAGACAAAAGAAAAAUGAAAGUUCAUGAAAUAUGCAGCACACAGAAGGAGGAAACUAUUUUGCAAUGCUCAUCAAAUUAAGUACCUUAAUAACAUGCACAGAAGAGAAAAUUUGGGAGCUGGAAAUGCACUUUAGAGUUUCAAACUGUUAUACUUUAAGUUUCUGUUUUACUUGGGGGAUUCUACUCCCCCUCCCCCAAGCUGAAGGUAGAAGUUAUGGAGUCUGCUUUAUUUGUGGUUUUGGGUUAAUUUUGAAGUGAGUACUUAAAUAUAAUUAUGGACCAAAACAAGCUGGUGCAAGAGGAGCUGACUUGGGUAGAUCCAGAAAUAGAUUUUACUUUUAUUUUCUGUAGCUACCAGGACAGUGGAAUCCAACCCACUCAACCUGACUUUAAAAAAAGCACACAAAGGAAAAGUAAAAAACCAAAGCUUCAAACUGUUGAGCUGCCUCAGUGUGAUCUAGAGCAGGGCUAUGGAAGCAAGCUGUUUUUCUUGUACAGGUGCAGAAGCUUUGGGGUUUGAGAAUACAGGAAAACCUGUCCAAGCCCUAUUAAAAAUACAAUCACUAUAGAAACGCAAGAUAUACCAACCUUACAAAGUUCAGACUUACUGAUUUGGUGGUAAUUCAAUGGCUUGGCUUCCCAGCUACCAGGGAAACACAUGCUUUGCAGUCACAUGAGACAGUCCCUGCAUCCCUGUCAAAUGGAAAAAGGACCUUCCCUCACUCCCACAGCCCCACCAAAAGUACCUGAAACUUUGUAUUUUUCCCCAUAAAAACUUAUUCCAUUUUUAUUUCUAGCCUGUGAUUGCACACUCCACCUGCAACACACAUCCAGGGAGCUAGCAUAGGUGUGAUCCACGUGCUGGGAAUGCAGAGCCAUAGAAUGGGACAGAGCUGGUGGCAUGAGCUGCACGUGGGGCAGCUGUUUUUGUUCCAGUGAGCCAAGUUUAGUUAUUCCAGGCUGCCUUAAAUCAAUGAAAGUGCAGCUCUGUAACCGCUGCCUGAGAGAGGCUUUGCAGAGACCUCAGAUCAACUCCCUGGCAGCAGAAGUGGCACCUGGAGAUACCAAACACAUGGAAGGAACGUACUCAGCAAAUACUGUGGGUGUGAGUCAGCUCCCCAGACCUUAUCAGUGCCAAAGUUCACCAGUGUGGUCAGCCAGGCUCCCCAUCCCUGGGCUGCAGAUGAGGGAUGGAUGUGCUCACAGGUGAUUCACCCCACACACUGACAGAUGUUCAUGAUGUGUGGUACCAGCCCCAUUUAGACAAGACUCUCAGAUAGCUAAAUAUAGACUAAAUUCAUUCUCUCCAACCGUGAUCUCACCCCAGACCUGUGAAGUCUUGCCCCUCUGAUGUACAGAUAUUGGCAUUCCAGCAUCACUGAACAGCCUGUUCAAAACCCAGGGUUAAUUCCAUUUGUUACUAGUGGUGGAUUAAUCAUCCUCAAGAUUUCUGAGGCAAAUACCAAAUUCCCCUUUUCUACACCAGCAUGCAUCAGCUGUUGUUGAUUUCCAGCAAUACUGGCCAUCUAAAUGACUCCAAAUUAAGAUCUCUAGGAAGCAUAAAAUUUACUCAGUUCUGCAAUUAUCACAUCUGUUUAAAUUGCCCAAAUAUACAAGCUGGGCCACAUAGGACCCACCAUUGCCUUCCUCUGAUCAAAAAGCUCCUGAAGAAGCAGAUCCUUUUCAAGACCAAAGCUGGGUGAAUAAUUUCCCCUCAGUUCCUGGACCAGAAAACAGUGAUAAGGGUACAGUAUUCUCCUCAUUAUCUCAGUAAUCAAAAUAUCCUAUUUUGUGAAAUAGGAUAUUUGUGAAUCCAACUGUAAAUGGUUCAUUUCAAUGAAUUGCUCUAAAGCCCACCACGGGUCACAACUGAGGAUCCCCUUCAAAAUGAAAAAGAAGAGGAACAACUUGGGGUGGGAGGACAUUUUAUCAUUUCCUAGUCUGUAUCUGAAAAUAAUGUCUUUUCCAAAGGCUCAAGGUUUUCAUGGGAGAGAAGGGCUGAGUUUCUAAUCUCAUAGACACUUAGAUGUGCAAAUGGAUGAGGAGCUCCAGCUCAGCCAGGCACUCCUCUGGUACCCACUGCUUGAGGGGAUGUGAGGGAUCACUUUACUUCAUUAUAAAAUUUAAUUUCUUCAGGAUUUAGCAGAGCACCAAGAAGACACCAGAGCUUGGUUUUUGUUUUAGUCACUGCCUGCUUUAGAGGAGGCCUCUGAGGAGAUGAAAGCAAGUCUCCAGUGAGAAGUGACAGAGUUCUUUCUUUCAGUUCCUUUGGGACCCAUUGCCAAGUUUCAUGUUUGUGGUAGGAAAUGCUGCUGAGGGGAGAGGGGCCUGUUGAGCAGAGGCUCCUGCAAACUGACACAAAAGGAGAGUGGUUCCCCCUACUAAAGGCUGAUUCCUGGCAGUGAGGGGAUGAACUGCAGUGCCACACGCAGAAAACCAGGACUAAACCUCUUCUUACAUGGCUUACACCUAUCCCUUCCAUCCUGAGCUGUCCAGCAGGAUUUUUGGAUGUGAGGACACCUCACAUUUUUUGAUGUGUGUCACCAGGAAGCACCAGCUGAGAGCUGAGCCCAGGCCACGACACCGAGAAAGGCAGAGCCAUGUAUGGGAUGCAGGAAGGAUGGCACUGGCAAUUGCCAGGACAGCACUGGCAGCUCCUGCCCCUCCCUGGGUGCAGCUGGGGCAAACACAGAGCU